AUUGAACGCUGGCGGCAUGCCUUACACAUGCAGUCGAACGGCAGCACGGGAGCAAUCCUGGUGGCGAGUGGCGAACGGGUGAGUAAAGUAUCGGAACGUGCCCAGUCGUGGGGGAUAACGUAGCGAAAGUUACGCUAAUACCGCAUACGAUCUAUGGAUGAAAGCGGGGGAUCGCAAGACCUCGCGCGAUUGGAGCGGCCGAUAUCAGAUUAGGUAGUUGGUGGGGUAAAGGCUCACCAAGCCGACGAUCUGUAGCUGGUCGGAGAGUGCGACCAGCGACACUGGGACGGAGGAACGGCCCAGAAUCGUACGGGAGGCAGCAGUGGGGAAUUCUGGACAAUGGGCGAAAGCCUGAUCCAGCCAUGCCGCGCGCAGGAUGAAGGCCUUCGGGUUGUAAACUGCUUUUGUACGGAACGAAAGGUUUGGGCUAAUAAGCUGAGCUCAUGACGGUACCGUAAGAAUAAGCACCGGCUAACUACGUGCCAGCCGCCGCCGUAA
rnacentral:rRNA from 1 species